CAGGGAUCAAACCUGCGUCUCCUGCAUUGGCAGGCAGGUUCAUUACCACUGAGCCACCUAGGAAGCCAUAUAUACAUAUUUGGAACAGAGCCAUCCAUUUGAAGAAGCAUCACCUGAGUGGGUAGCACUGGGACAGAGUCCUGGAUGAGACGAGAGUGUUGUUGGGGGAAGUGUCACCUGCCGAGGAAGCUUUGAGUCAGCCCCGGUGGCAGCUGCAUGACCCGGGGCAAGGCGAUAACUUCUGGGAAGCUUGUUUCCAUGGUUUAAAAUAAAGCUUAAAGCUAAGCCCUACUGAGGGUGGUGGGGGAAGCUUCCCAGGUGGCUCAGUGGUUAAAAAAAAAAGGGCCGCCUGCCAGAGCAGGAGCUGCAGGAGCUUCAGGUUCAGUCCCUGGGUCCGGAAGAUCCCCUGCAAGAAGAGAUACAGUAUUCUUGCCUGGAGAAUCCCAUGGACCGAGGAACCUGGUGGGUUACAGUCCACGGGGUCUCAAAGAGUUGGACUCUUCUGAGCAACUGGGCAUGCAUGCAAUGACCCUAUGGGAGAUUAAAUGGAAGAAGGCCUGGGGAGGCCUGGCCCCCUGUACAAUCUGGACCAGGCAGGGAUCCCAAUCUGCUGCCAAAAUGAGAUCUCCCUGACGGCUCUGCGGUGGAAAGAGGCCGAGCGAGCGAGCAAGCGGCAGAAAGCAGGUCUGCGGGGAUGGCAGCCGGCGAAGGUAUCACACCGCAAGCACCUGCCACGCUCCAAAAAGACAGCCGGGGUUUCACAUCGCAUUAGGCCAGGGCUGUGCUCGGGGAGGGCCGACCCUGGUGGGAUCUGGGCCUCGGCAGCCAUCUCCGACAAUUUCUCACCCUUUUUGGGCUCAGAAAAGCCCCCGAUACAGUUAGCCAAAUGGCUUUCCUGCAUCGAUUUUUAUCCCCUUGGGUAUUUUGGAGGAAAUUAA
rnacentral:lncRNA from 1 species